rnacentral:rRNA from 1 species
UCCGUAGGCGGCCGAUUAAGUCGGGGGUGAAAGCCUGUGGCUCGACCACAGAAUUGCCUUCGAUACUGGUUGGCUUGAGACCGGAAGAGGACAGCGGAACUGCGAGUGUAGAGGUGAAAUUCGUAGAUAUUCGCAAGAACACCAGUGGCGAAGGCGGCUGUCUGGUCCGGUUCUGACGCUGAGGCGCGAAAGCGUGGGGAGCAAACA